GGCCUAACACAUGCAAGUCGAGCGGAAACGAGUUAUCUGAACCUUCGGGGAACGAUAACGGCGUCGAGCGGCGGACGGGUGAGUAAUGCCUAGGAAAUUGCCCUGAUGUGGGGGAUAACCAUUGGAAACGAUGGCUAAUACCGCAUAAUGCCUACGGGCCAAAGAGGGGGACCUUCGGGCCUCUCGCGUCAGGAUAUGCCUAGGUGGGAUUAGCUAGUUGGUGAGGUAAGGGCUCACCAAGGCGACGAUCCCUAGCUGGUCUGAGAGGAUGAUCAGCCACACUGGAACUGAGACACGGUCCAGACUCCUACGGGAGGCAGCAGUGGGGAAUAUUGCACAAUGGGCGCAAGCCUGAUGCAGCCAUGCCGCGUGUGUGAAGAAGGCCUUCGGGUUGUAAAGCACUUUCAGUCGUGAGGAAGGCAGUAUCGUUAAUAGCGGUAUUGUUUGACGUUAGCGACAGAAGAAGCACCGGCUAACUCCGUGCCAGCAGCCGCGGUAAUACGGAGGGUGCGAGCGUUAAUCGGAAUUACUGGGCGUAAAGCGCAUGCAGGUGGUUUGUUAAGUCAGAUGUGAAAGCCCGGGGCUCAACCUCGGAAUUGCAUUUGAAACUGGCAGACUAGAGUACUGUAGAGGGGGGUAGAAUUUCAGGUGUAGCGGUGAAAUGCGUAGAGAUCUGAAGGAAUACCGGUGGCGAAGGCGGCCCCCUGGACAGAUACUGACACUCAGAUGCGAAAGCGUGGGGAGCAAACAGGAUUAGAUACCCUGGUAGUCCACGCCGUAAACGAUGUCUACUUGGAGGUUGUGGCCUUGAGCCGUGGCUUUCGGAGCUAACGCGUUAAGUAGACCGCCUGGGGAGUACGGUCGCAAGAUUAAAACUCAAAUGAAUUGACGGGGGCCCGCACAAGCGG
rnacentral:rRNA from 1 species